rnacentral:rRNA from 1 species
CCCUACGGGAGGCUGCAGUAGGGAAUCUUCCACAAUGGACGAAAGUCUGAUGGAGCAACGCCGCGUGAGUGAAGAAGGGUUUCGGCUCGUACAGCUCUGUUGGUAGGGAAGAAAGAUAGAGAUAGUAACUGGACUUUAUUUGACGGUAACUACUUAGAAAGUCACGGCUAACUACGUGCCAGCAGCCGCGGUAAUACGAAGGUGGCAAGCGUUAUCCGGAUGUAUUGGGCGUAAAGCGAGUGGAGGCGGUUCAAUAAGUCUGAUGUGAAAGCCUUCGGCUCAACCGGAGAAUUGCAUCAGAAACUGUUGAACUUGAGUGCAGAAGAGGAGAGUGGAACUCCAGGUGUAGCGGUGGAAUGCGUAGAUAUAUGGAAGAACACCAGUGGCGAAGGCGGCUCUCUGGUCUGCAACUGACGCUGAGGCUCGAAAGCAUGGGUAGCGAACAGGAUUAGAUACCCCAGUAGUC